rnacentral:rRNA from 1 species
UACAGAGGUCUCAAGCGUUGUUCGGAUUCAUUGGGCGUAAAGGGUGUGUAGGUGGCGCCGUAAGUCGGGUGUGAAAUUUCGGAGCUUAACUCCGAAACUGCAUUCGAUACUGCGGUGCUUGAGGACUGGAGAGGAGACUGGAAUUCAUGGUGUAGCAGUGAAAUGCGUAGAGAUCAUGAGGAAGACCAGUGGCGAAGGCGGUUCUCUGGGCCUUACCUGACGCUGAGGAGCGAAAGCGUGGGGAGCGAACAGG